rnacentral:tRNA from 1 species
GCGCCACUAGCUCAGAGGAAGAGCACCUGCCUUGGGGAUAAGUUUUAGAAACAACUUAAACUUUAAGUUAAGUAGGGGCAGUAUCUACUAUCUCCACCAUUAAGCAGGGAGUGCGGGGAUCGUUACCCCGGUGGCGCACCA